rnacentral:rRNA from 1 species
ACCAGCUGGCAGUUCUUAGCUAAUCCUGGCUGAUUUUGGAAACUGAAUAUGUUUGGUUAUAGUUAGUGCUUAGAUGGGCAACCGCUUGGGAAUUUCAAUGCUGUUGGUU